UCCAUUUUUAAAAGAGUAAGGGUUAGGGUUCUUGAGUGAAGGAAGAGAAGAAGAAGGUUUCUUGCAUCAAUUUUCGUGGGUUUUCUCAAUACUAAGGUUCCGGAAAGUGAGCGGGUUCCAUAGUAAGCUUGGAACUUGAAGUUCUUCCAAGAUCUUGUGGUAUGUCCUCAUAUGUCGAGGACAAGAGUUUUCUAUUCUAGUUUAUAAUAAGGUUCUUGUAAUAGACUUAAUAGACUUCUUUUGAUUGUAAAGGGCCGUGCCCCUAGUAUGUUUUCAUGUUUAUGUCUAAGAUGGCUAAGAGACUUAGUAUUCCGCUUGUGUACUUUUGAAUGAUGUUUUAAAAGUGACCUUUGAGUCUUAUGGGAUUUUAUUUAAAGAGUUUUUAAUUCCGCACUA